rnacentral:rRNA from 1 species
UACGUAGGGUGCAAGCGUUGUCCGGAAUUAUUGGGCGUAAAGAGCUCGUAGGCGGUCUGUCGCGUCGGCUGUGAAAACUCGGGGCUCAACUCCGAGCUUGCAGUCGAUACGGGCAGGCUAGAGUUCGGCAGGGGGAGACUGGAAUUCCUGGUGUAGCGGUGAAAUGCGCAGAUAUCAGGAGGAACACCGGUGGCGAAGGCGGGUCUCUGGGCCACUACUGACGCUGAGAAGCGAAAGCAUGGGGGAGCGAAACAGG